UCUGGGCCUAAGAAGGGGGUGUGUCACCAUGGCCUGGAUCCCCAUCCUCCUCCUGCUCCUCUGUCACUGCGUAGGUUCCCUGUCCCAGCCUGUCGUGACUCAGCCAGCCUCCUUCUCUGCAUCUCUGGGAGCCACAGCCAGACUCACCUGCACCCUGAGCAGGGACAUCAAUGUU